CAUGUAGGCGGAUUGAUAAGUUUGAAGUGGAAUCCUAUAGCUUAACUAUAGAACUGCUUUGAAAACUGUUAAUCUAGAAUGUGGGAGAGGUAGAUGGAAUUUCUGGUGUAGGGUAAAUCCGUAGAGAUCAGAAGGAAUACCGAUUGCGAAGGCGAUCUACUGGAACAUUAUUGACGCUGAGAUGCGAAAGCGUGGGGAGCAAACA
rnacentral:rRNA from 1 species